UGGUCAGGUCGUGGUUGUACCCAUGAUCUUUAAGGUCUUUUCCAACCUGAGCUGUUCUAUGAUUCUAUAUUCUACAUAUAAAUUCAAAAUUACUUCCUUUGUGCAAAUUCUAAGUCUACUGAUCUAUUUCUGUUUUUGUGGCAUUUUGCUCAUUGCUGUAAUUUGUACAUGAUCGAUCUGUUGUUCUUCUGAGCUUUUUUAGAACAAUUACAUGAUCUUUCUUAAAAAGUCGCCUCUUGAGUCUGUAGCUUUUUCUGUACCCUUCUGAAAGAGCAGAUUUUGCUUGUGACCAGAGGCAUAAUGCAUUCUGCUUCCUGCUCACCUUCCGCUUCUAUGAGCGUUUUUUAAAGCUUUUAGGGGACUUGUAGUGUGCCUGGGAGACCUAGCAGUGCUUACAUGCACAGUGCUUUGGUGCUGUAGAGUGCAUGUGCAUGUUCAUGUGGCACACGCAGCCUUGCUAGUAGGCUCAGAGGUGAAUUGGCUUUGGAGAGAUACUUCAGUCUCCCUUGGCAUAGCGGUGUAUGCAAACUUUGUGGCCAGGUAUUAUUUUCAACACAAUUGCUGUUUCAGACAGCAGUUUCAACAGUGACAAGUCUAAAACAACAGGUUCAGGAGACACGUAAACAGGAGACCAGCUGAUUAAUGUCCAGUCUGCUACUGGAAGAGGUCAGCUGACCUUUCUCUCCUCAGUGAAGAGAUAGUCCUUAUGUGGACUGUAAGAGGUGAGUGUUGGUCGGUUUUGUUCACAUGGGUCAAAGCUGUUUCCGUUCCUGGAGAACACUAGUUAGAACCAGGUAAUGGUGAGAGAACAACUCCGUUAUAAUGCCUAAUUUAUUAACAAGCAAAGAGAAGAAGGAAUUUUGUUCUUCUUGAAGGCACUUCAAAGAGUGCUGAGUUGUCUUGGCUUGCCUGUUUCAAGGCCAUUUGAGACUGAACCAGGUAGCCCCAUGGGAUGCUGCUUUGAUCAGGGCUUCCAGGUGCUAUAAUGUAGAAAACACUGUGAGCAGGGAACAGGCCAAGUCCUAGCACCUGUCUCAGUUGAUGAGACCAAGUCUCAUGUGACUUAGAGAAGAAGCGUGUCUCCUGCACCCUGUUUUAAACAAGUUGUCACCCUCUCUAGAACUACCAAGUGUGUGGAGCCUUGCUGGAACAAAGUUCAAUGCAUCUGUCUUAGUGAUCGUUAUGACAAGAAGACGACCUGCAGCACCUGAAAAGGGGAGGCUAGGGAGGAAUUGAGACAUGUAGACUAAAAGUGCAGAAGAAGUAAAAAUUGCUGUGAAUAUUGAUUGAUACCAUUACAUCAGCAGUUUUCUUAUGUCACCUCAGCACUCAGUCUUCUAUUAACCCAGACAGUUGUAGAAACAGUGUGCUCUCAUACGUGAUUGUUAUCAAAUGAUCUUGCCACUAACACCAUUAAGACCACAUUCCAAGCCCUGAAAAUGUUAAAAGAUAAUCUUUAUUGGUAAGUGUGUACUGAAACCUGAGCAUUCCUCUGAAAUCACAUUUAUUCAAGUAUAUUUACUUGGUCCUGACCUUGGUCAGAUAGAUGGGGUAUAGAUGGCAGCACAUUGUCCAAGUGAAGUUACAGACACAUGCAGAAAUAAUGCUUAUUGCAGUGUUCUCCAUUACAGAAUUCAAUGUAUUUCUAGAUCUGAGAAUAGUGUGUCAUUAAAGGUAAUUAUUUUGUUGGAAAGAGGACUGGUAUUAAGCAUUUGAGUUCCCUACCUUCAGUGUUAGGCGUUACAAACCUCCUCAAAUGAAAAGAAUGUAAAAGGAUGUAACGUUGGAGCUUCUGUGCUUAAAAGUAUUCUAAGAUUGCACAAAGGUUCUCAAGAUAUAGCCCAGAGUUUACAUGAUACUUCUGUGUCACUUCUCUGAGACAGCUGGGAUUACAGGAAGAAUUUUGUUUCAGAAUGCCAUUCAGCUGUUGUCAGACUGAAGUACUGGAGAACAGCUUUGCUGAGUAUAAAUGUGAUCAUUAUUUUCCUUUAAUUUUUGCUUUGGAAGAAAUAAUACCAUUUCUGUUUGGGAAGUAGGCAAGGUGAUAACAAGACUUUCAUUUGGCUUGGGUGAUGUACUUGGAAAUUUUCUAGCCUGCAGCAUUAGUCCAUAGCAGAUUCCUCAACAAAACAAGCAAUAGGUAAAACAAAAUGAGAAUCCAUGCAAAAGUGCAGUUGGAAAUGCAGCUGGUGGUUUAAUGUCAUAGCAACUUCUUAAAAUCUGUGUUCAUGCAGUACUUCUAAAGAGAAACAAAGUUCUGAUGUACAUAAUAUAUUUUAUUACAGCUUUACUUUAUGACUUUUUUAUUAAAGAUAUUGGCCUGCCAUAGAGUUUAACAUACUAAAGCAUAGUAGUGUUACAUACGGCAGGGUCUGCGUUGUGUAAAAUUGAAUAAAGAUUUCUUUUUUUCUGA